rnacentral:rRNA from 1 species
CGGAGGAUCCAAGUGUUAUCCGGAUUCAUUGGGUUUAAAGGGUGCGUAGGCGGAACGAUAAGUCAGUGGUGAAAGCCUGCAGCUUAACUGCAGAACUGCCAUUGAUACUGUCGAUCUUGAGUACAUUUGACGAGGGCGGAAUGUGUCAUGUAGCGGUGAAAUGCUUAGAUAUGACACAGAACACCGAUUGCGAAGGCAGCUCUCGAAACUGUAACUGACGCUGAGGCACGAAAGCGUGGGUAUCAAACAGGAUUAGAUACCCUGGUAGUCCACGCUGUAAACUAUGAUCACUCGAUGUUUGCGAUAUACUGUAAGCGUCUAAGCGAAAGCGAUAAGUGAUCCACCUGGGGAGUACGCCGGCAACGGUG